rnacentral:rRNA from 1 species
AUGGGGACGACAACCCAAGAAAUUCUCGCACAAAGAUACAAAGGCAGCAAGAUACACGAUGGAAUUUGGAGUAAAGUGAUGGAGCUGCACUCCGAAAAAGUUCAAGAAACUCCGGAAGAAAGAAUGAGGAGGCAGAGAAAAUCAGCGAUCGAUGUGAGUGGUGAGGAGGACGCACUCACCCUCGCGAGGCUGAGGUUCGAUCUCGUUCCCCGGGACACGCGCAGAUCCAUGGGGAAUGAAUCCCCCAUCGAUCAGAUCAUCGAUGUCAUCUUGCCGAAUCACCGAGGGCAUCCAAUCGCCCUGGAUCCAGUCCUUCGGCAGAGCGGACCUCUAAGAAGAUCCGCCCGAUCGGACUUCCUCGCCUUCGCCUGCGCUGUCGCUUUCUUCGCACGCUCCAGGGCCCCCAUAUUCUCCUUCACCAUCGCCGCAGACGAAGCUCGAACAGACCAGCAGUGCUUAGACGAGAACAGAGAUGGCGGAAGAAUUCGAGAGGGAAGAGGAAAAGUGAAGGCGCACUGUUCAAAAGCCCUGGGCCGGCUGUCGGAUCACGGGUUCCGGCAGACCCUUAAGGUUCGAACUCUGGGGUGCGCGCGGAGAUCAUGCUCUCUACCUCUCCGUCUCGCAAGGAUCUAA